UACGUAGGUGGCGAGCGUUGUCCGGAUUUACUGGGCGUAAAGGGAGCGUAGGCGGACUUUUAAGUGAGAUGUGAAAUACCCGGGCUCAACUUGGGUGCUGCAUUUCAAACUGGAAGUCUAGAGUGCAGGAGAGGAGAAUGGAAUUCCUAGUGUAGCGGUGAAAUGCGUAGAGAUUAGGAAGAACACCAGUGGCGAAGGCGAUUCUCUGGACUGUAACUGACGCUGAGGCACGAAAGCGUGGGGAGCAAACAGGAUUAGAUACCCCU
rnacentral:rRNA from 1 species